rnacentral:rRNA from 1 species
GUACUAAGGUAGCAUAAUCAAUUGUCUUUUAAUUGAAGAAUGGAAUGAAAGAAUUAAUGAAAUAUAUACUGUCUCAAUUAUAAAAAUUAAUUUAAAUUUUUAGUUAAAAUGCUAAAUUUAAAUUAUGGGACGAUAAGACCCUAUAGAAUUUUAUAUUAAAUUAUUUAUAAUAAUUAAUUAUUAAAUUGUUAUAAAUAAUUUAAUAUUUAAUUGGGAGGAUUUAUAAAUUUAAUAAACUUUAUAUUAAUAAUUAAACUUUGAUUUAAGAAAAUUUAAUUUGAUAUAGUAGUAUUAAUUAGAAAAAAAAAUUACCUUAGGGAUAACAGCGUAAUAUCUUUUUAAAGUACAAAUUAAUAA